rnacentral:lncRNA from 1 species
UCCUCCAAGGUACUUCUCUAUGCGACUCCUAGAGCCACUCGGUGGAGGCGUCGUUGCUCGUGCUACUCUCUUAGGCGGUAUUUGCUUAUAAAUCUCCAUGGUUAAUCAUAUAAAUAGAAUGAGACGUGGUUAGCGAUAAUCACUUAGUAACUAAGCCUAAAACCGAAGAACUGAACUGGUAUUUGGUAAAGUGACUCUAUGGUCAUGUAGUUAUCAUCCUCACAUCAGCCACCCCUAGCUAUGAGCGGACAGUGUCAUGGUGGAUUAGACGAUGAAACCACACUAAAAAACCCAUGAGAACAACUCUGAAAGUUAACUCAUCAUGUCAUAUCUAAAUCUUAAUGAAUCCUGGGGGAUUCCACAAUCCAAAGAGUGGGCGACCAACGUAUAACCAGAGGGAAUCUAGCUAGUCUUGAUUCUUAACCUAAACACGAACUGUGAAUCACACGCACAUUUCAUCCAUGUGAGCUUAUGCUCGGAAUAAUAAUUGUUUGUGCAGUAGACCGCACGCUACAACACAGCCUGAGAAACCCAACUCUAAAUCACAAGACCUGUAUAGUAGACCGCAUGCUACUGUACAGUCUUGAGAAUCCAUUCAAGGAUUCCUAACAACUAAUUAAAAUUCUUCGCAUAAAGCAGAAAGUAAUCUUAACCCCCGAGUCUGAAAAGCUUUCCUCAAUAGAGUCUGUUCUGAAGCCGUCUCCCUAGAGCUUGAUUUCCUGAUCCAAAUGACCUGUUGAUAUCAAACGUAGGAUUGAAAUUCCAAAAAUCCCAAAAUCUUAACAUGUCGGGAUUUUUCUACGUAGGAUUCAUAACAAGGAAUGGAGAUAGGAGGAAGAAGAUAGACUACCUUCUGAAGCUUCCUCUACGAUCUCUCAGCCUCUCUUGUCGGUCUUGGAUCUAUCAACAUGGUCCUUCUCUGUGCCUGAAAUCAUUCGUCGUCUGUGAUUUUCUAAAAUUAGAUUUCUGAGAGUUCUGAGUUUCUAAAGUCGCAAUUCUAUUUAUAUAAACAGUCCACCACGCUGGUGGCCUACUUACCGCCAUGCCCGUGGCGGCAUGGCAACCAUGCUUGUGGCCUACUAAUGGUCAGGACCGUGAUUCACCUGCCAGUCACGAUCGUGACUGUUACUGACCUCGACCAUGAUCUCCUUGAUGAUCACGCCCGUGAUGGUUCAUCUGACAGCCAAUUCUCAAAGGCUCACAAAAACCAAAUUUAACCCAUAGUCAAACAUUAACACAAAAUCGGGGUGUCUAACACUCCGCGACGUUGACACCCAAUACAAAAGUAUACAAACUUGGUGGACGUCUCAGUGUCUAUAGUUGAAUUAAAUAAGCACAAUAACGGGUUUAGAUAUAAAAAAUUUGAGAAAGAAAAUAUAAAAGCAACAUCAACAAAAACACAAAAAAUAACGUCUCAAAAUAUUUUGGCAUAACUUUUACUAGUUAGCCCACCCUUAAAUUACAUUUUUACUUAUUAUAAUUCACGAAUGUUGGGGUUGAUCUGAAUAGUUGAUAUCUAUCAUCCAAUCAUUGUAGUUUUGAGAAUGGAUUAUAAAAAAAUGUAGUUUUGAGUAUGGAUUAUUAAAAAAUAUAGUAUUGAGUACGAGUAAUAAUCAUCAUAAUAGAAUUUCAAACUCAUAUGUGUUUACCAUGCAGUUUCGGGUAUUAGGUUAUACAAGUUCUCAUAUUCAAUCAAGUUUAUUAAGUAUAUUAAUUUUUUUAUAUAGACUUAUUGGGUCUAAGUAUUACAUCAACUGAAUGUUUAGUUUUUAUUCUAAAUACAAUACAUUAUAGUUGUUGGAAAUUUUAAAAUUAGAGAUUGACACAAGAGUAACAAGAUCAUCAAGAUUAACCAGUGCCUUUACGAAUCAAGUUUAUUAAUUGUAAUAUUUUUUACAUAUAUUGGAAAAUCUUCAACUUUUAAUGCAUACAUCUUUAACUUUACCCUUAUAUAAUCCAAUAACAGUUGUCACUUAUCAAAAAGUAUACUCUAUCUAUAAUAUAAGUUAUAACUAUGGUUCAUAUAUUGAUUUAACAAUCAAAAUUACAUCAUUAUAUUGACAUUAAUUCAAGCUUAGAUAUAGUAAUUCAAUCAGCAUAUGAAAACAUAAAAAUACAUAAUAGUUAGAUAAUUUUAUUUUUAUUACAUAACUAAACCGCACCAACACUAGUUAUUUACUAUACAUUUUCUGUACUGAAAAAAAUUCAUCUAUCCUCACUUAUAUCCUUUAAAAGUAUUUUCGACAUCUAUUCUAAUAUAUGAAAGUAUAUGGGCAUGUCAUGAGUGAAAAAAGACGUAAAGGAGGCAAAAACAUUACAAAAUGAUUUGAAGCAGUUUUGCUUGUGUGUGGAUACCAUUUUUGUCCGACAAUGGCGGACAAAUGAAAUGACGGACAUGAUGCUAUGUGGAUGAUCAACGGUUAGGGGUUAGAAUGAUUUUCCGCACCAUCCUGCACGCAUCAGAUGGGUCGCUUCUUGUCCCUGACCCCAAUAUUUUCUUAUUACCGGUCGAAUACUUAAUAUUAAGUAAUGAAUUAUUUGUGAAAUUUUAUAAUUCAAAACCAAAAUUUGAAAUGAAGAUUUUGGGGCGGUUGAAAUUCAAAAUCGUUUAAAAUUUUCCUAUUUUGAAAUUCAAAAUUGAAAUGGGAGGUUUACGUCAAGUUACUCCCAGAGUACUAUAGUUAUUCCCAGUUCCCGCCAAAAAUGGGAAUCCAAAAUCUCUUUCUCUCUUUCUACCCAAACGAUUUCGCUAACCAUCCACGUCGUAACCAUAGUGAAGCCUAUCUACAAACUCCCCCAUCAACCACCGUCAACUGCCCAUCCAGAAACCAACCGAAGGUUACUAUAUAAGGAGGGUUUAGGGUCAAAAGGCGCAGUUCAUUUCAAUUCCACUUUUUAUGCUCUUGCCUGGAUGGAGGAACAAUAGGAGAGAGACACGCGUCUGAGUUCAUCUCUGGGUAAGCAGGUAACCGCCAUCGCAUUCUUCUUAGUGCAAUGUUCACUCGGUUGCAACAACUUUAGUAGUAACCCUCUGGUUUCCAUUCCGUUUUGUUGCGCUCGGGGUUUGGGCCCUCAUUUGGGCUAUUGAUUGUUUCUUAGUAACUAGAAAAAGGCGGGAUUAAAAAAUGGAAAUAAAGAGGCUAGCAAAGAAGAGGCACUCGGAGCAAGACAAACUCAGUUUCAUUUUGUGGCUACCUUGUCAUUACCUUUCAAUUUGUGCCUAUCUCGUUCUUAGAAAUUUCUAAUCUCGAGUUAGUUGUAAUGGCGAUUGAUUUGUCGAUUUCCUUGUGGUUACUAUUGAUUAACUCCUCCUAUAAUAGAUUUGGCGAUUACUUUAUGGCUACUAUCGAUUUAUUCCUACUAGUUAUUGAUUUGGACUUUGAUUUCCUAGCCCAGUUGUGUGGUUACUGUUAAUAUACUUCGACUGGUUGUUCAUUCAAUACAAAAGUACUGUUGUUUCUACCUAUUUACUGUUUACCGUUUCACUCCAUUACACUGACAAUAAUGCCGUUUGCAUGAGGUUUACUAUCUAGUUGGAUAACUAGGUCCUUGUCAACCUGGUUUUGGCCUCCACAUGUAAUGUGUCGUUGUUGUUUGCAGAAAAAGAAACAGCGACCGGAUGAUGUAGAGGCCAGCAAGCAGAAUCUGAACCCCGUUUUCCACUACAAGACAGGAGGGGUGGUGGAUGCCAAUGAUGUUUUGAAGAUUAUGCAUGUCAUGACCAGCAUCAAGAAGUACUCCACCAAGCGGGGUUCGAGGGUUUUCUUGUUCAUUCAGAACAAAUAACAGAACAGGGAACUCAUCGAUAUCCUUCAGUCAGGAUUCGACCCGACAUCACAGGCCUUCGACAUAAACGGGUAGUCUCUAUCCAUUGAAGCGGUCGAUGUGGACAGAAUUUAUGGCUUACCAUAUGGUGGAAAAGAUGUACACAUUAAGACUUGCCCUCCAACGUCGUUGAAAGAUUCACCAAAGAGCUAGCUAUCCACGGAUACCCGAUUGGUACAAUGUCCUUCAAGGAGGUUAAGGACAAACUGAAGAUGACAAAAGAACCUACCAACUUUGUGAAGAUGUACAUCCUGCUGUGCAUAGGUCAGUUGCUGGCACCAGGGAACUCAGACCGGGUCCCUUGAGGUCACUGUAACUAAUAUUCCUAUCCACCUACUAGACCCGCUGGUGCUACAAAAAUUCAAGGCGUCAGAGAAACUGACAUGUGGCUUCUAGGACGAUGGAAAAAUUACAAGGGUUGUCAAGGACAUAAGGCUGGACGGCGGCAGCCUUGAAGAAGGCUCGGGAGACUGUUGGUGCAAAGUUUGAAACGAAGGAGCUGUCCUGGCUUCAUUCUGAGAACGACAUUGGAAGCCCGAAAGAAGAAGACCAAGAAGAGGAACAACAACAACGGACCGUCUAAACAACUGCUAGAAGUGACCGUCCUCAACAAUCUGUUAGGGCAAACAGCCUGCAACCAAAAUAAAGUGCUAUUCUGGUGUUGUAAGCCAAGUCGAUCAGAGACCCUGAACAGGUUCGUUUCUUUUUUACCUUGGCCCCUGCUCUGCAUAAUAUUUUUUAUUUUUUUAUGUAGGAAAUUCCCAUGCUACUCUCAUUAUUCUGAGUAUGUUGUUUCUACCUUCUCGUGAUGGGCGAACAACCACUGCGAGAUAGAUGAGGCUCCACUUAUCAUUUGAAAAAAAAUACCUCCACCCCUUCCUUAUUGGCUAACCUAACCAUGUUGGUUAUGGCAUAUUAGUAUUGUGUACCUGCAAAUUUCCUCUGUUGAUCAUCGUGUUUGUGUUGCUGCUAUGAACUUUAUUCCCACUCUACUAUGACUGCACUGACUUUUUUUUGGGGUUGUAUCGCACGGCUGUCAUCAUCUGAUUGCACAUUACAACACUUCUGUAUUUCUGUUUAGUUAUUGUGAAGUUGCAAACACUAAGAAUUUCUCUCCGUCGGUUAUCAUGUUUGUUUCGCUUAUGUGAACUUUAUUCCCAUGGACCAUGUACUGUCACCGACUGCACGUUUGUAAUGAUCCAAUUGUCACGUUACUGCACUAUCCACUUGUGUUUGUUGUGUUUGGCAGUUGGAAACCCUAUGAAAGGUCGCAUUGAAGCAGUUAAUGCUUAGGAAGUCUGUGAUUGCUGAUCAAGAGGCUGCUUUGGAGGCCACACUUGCAGUAGGGAAAAAGGAGCUGGACACGUAGGUCACCCAACGUGACUAUUGGGACAGAAAAUACUGUUAUGUAGAUAUCCUUCUGAUGGCGAAAGCAACAAAACCAUCAAUACACCACAUGACCAAUAAGCAGCCAGUAUCGGUCCCUACCUCUUCCAAUGACAACCAAGAUGUGGAUAACAACGACCAGUAGUUUUCCGAACCGGAAGAGGAGGUACUCCUUGCACCACAAGUGGGGCAACGUGACGAGGAUGAUAUCCGGGAAGAUGACAACCACCAACAUGCACACGAAGUACAUGGUGAAGAAAACCAACACGAGGAAGAACCACAUACUCCUUCGGGUAAAGUGUAACUCGAAGAGGAAGAAAAGCGCACCAGCGAGCAUGGUGAGGACGGGGGGAUGAGAACGAAGACGCCCUACCAGUUGUUCUAACAGUUCAUACAGUCUCAAGUAUGAAAAAUGAGCACGAUGAAGAGACCGAAUUCACUGGUUUCUAGAACGUGGCUAACAUUGGGAAGGCAGUAGGGGAAAAUGCAGACAAUGAUGCGUAAGAAAAUGCAGAAGAAAAUGUAUAGGUGUCUGAGCCACCGGGACACGAUGGAUCAACUUCUCUUCCACCUGGCGAAAUGAUCAUCUACGACCAACCGGGACAAUGGAUACACAUUCCACAACAUCCUCCUGUGGCCCUUUGCCAAACCCUGUAAGCGGGGACGAGAAGAUGGUCGUUGACUUCAUAAUGACUCAAUUAAACCUGACCAUUUCCAACCCAACCCGUUGACCCAAUCCGAACCCGCCCAAAAUUUUAGGGUUGGAUUUGAUAUUUUAUGGAUGGGUUCGGGUCAGAAAAAACAAGUCAGCAGGUGACCCGCAAAAUAUCACAUAGUCAUAAAAUUAGCACAAAAAACAUACACUUUCAGGUUUCCUGACCCAUGAAAAAUAAAAAUUCUCCUACUUAGUUACUUUCCAGCCCAAAUAUAUUUUUUACAAUUAGGUUUUGUAUAUAAUGAUAAUCUUCAACCUCUAAUUGACUUGUGCCGUCCGGUCGUCCCGUCUAUAAAUAUUCUUCUUGUCAUCUUCUAUUUCUAAAACUACUGCCUACUAGUCGCCGACCGCUUCAAUUUCUAAAGCUGCCGUCAUAUUCUACUUUCUAUUGCGACUACCUAUCAGAAGUACCAUGAAGCGAAUGAACAAAAGCCAUCUACAGAGGUAUGAUUUUUAAAGAGCAAGUUUUCAUUCUUCUUUGGAUCUAAAUGACAGUGAAGUAAUUCUAAUUGAGAAGCUUUAUUAAUUAUUAUCCUACGUAAAUACUAAAUAUGUAAUUCAUUAUUGUAAUUGUUGUUUAGGCUUUAUUGUUUAGAUCUUUGGAUAAUAGGAUUCCAUGUAAAUAUGCAAAUUCUAAUUCCUUAUAUCUUUUCUAAUCAUUUUUUGUUUAUUAAAUUUUGGAAUGUCAAACAGAAAUGCAAGGAAAAGUAUUCAUGCUACUGUAGCUGCUAGUAAUAAGGCAGUUAUUGAGGGACAAACUGAAAAGAUUACACCCGUUAGGAUUCUUCGGAAAAAAAAAUCGGCAGAUGAUGAUGAGGAUUCCUCUCAAAACCGACGUAAAAAUUCUUAUGUGUGGGUUUAUUUUGGGUGAAUUCUUCAGUAUACUUGGUAUACCGAAAUUUUCGGUGUGCCUAACUUUUUUUUGGUAACGUAAAUCCAUCAUCACCAUUCAUUUUCAGUUUGCGAUCUUGACGGUUCACAAUUAUUCAAAUAUUAAAUUUCUAUUUCAGGGAUUGAUUACCCUGAUUUCAUCCUCAACCCUGCCAUCAAGACAACUUAGACAGAAUCUAUGAUCAUCCUCUUGUUUCGAGUUGCCGGCAGGUCUUUUGUUCAACAAGUCUAUGUGAUAGUACUGCAGUAGAAGAAUCAAUGUUAGUUUUGGAGUCUGUUGUAAAGCUUCUGAAGUGGGGUAGAUGUUUUUAAUUUUGUUAUGUUUUAUAUUUUGUUAUGUUUCCUAAUUCCUAUCACUAUUAGUGGUUCACAAAUCGGAAUUGGAAUUUCAUUAUGCAUGCUCGUUAGUUUAUCGCUGAAUUCAAAUUCGAGCCAGGAAAUUAUAGUCCAUGUCUGAUAUGAUAUUUAAAUCCGAGUCGGUAACAAUUUUUGACGAGUCAAAUUCAAGCUCAAUUUAAACUUCAUUCAUUAAAUUGUUUUCAAACCAACCUCUAGCGAGUUUACAGACACAGAAUACAAGCAAAGUAAUAACUGUACUAGUGGUACAACAGUACCGUACCAAAACAAAACAGACAAUAUCGCAUGAUAUAUAAUCGUCGACUAGUGUACAACAUUACCUUACCGACCAAGUCCAGCAACUUCGCCCGUUCCUAAACUACUUUGCACUAGAUUCAGCUACAGUUACAUCAGGACACAUUUGGAUUCUCGGAUUUCACAUAUGAAUAGUCGCGUAAUUUCAAUGUGCCACCAGCUCUGAUCCCUCCCCUGUACAAGAUGUCAAUUCGCUGCUCGGCUAAACAUCGCUUCACUUCUUCUAAUUCAGCAUGUUCUUUCUCCAUGAUAGCCUCCAUUUCAUCCAAAUCUUUCAUCUUACACUGCAGUUUCUUCAACUAGUGUUGCAACCCAGUAAAACAAAUAGAUUAGAAGCUGAAUAGUGAAAAUGAAUCACCAAUUAUAGUAGGUUCUGUUUCUUAUUUAAUAUUUGAGAUCAAAAAUAAAAUGUGAAAUAGAAAUUUAAUAUUUGAAUAAUUGUGAACCGUCGAGAUCGCAAACUGAAAAUGAACGGUGGUGAUNNNNNNNNNNNNNNNNNNNNNNNNNNNNNNNNNNNNNNNNNNNNNNNNNNNNNNNNNNNNNNNNNNNNNNNNNNNNNNNNNNNNCUUAUUUUGAUAUCCUUCCAGGAAGCAAGUAGUCCAAUAAUAAAGAUGGCGCUAAAUGCAAGAAUUGUCCUAAUGUUUUUAUCACUCUAUCUAAUAUGGGCACCUCGAACCUCAAUCGCCACCUGCUAAAAUGCCCAGGUAUUAUUCAACAAAACUUAUCUGAUAUGAUAGUUGGUGCUAGAAGGUUGACUAGAAAGAUUGAUCAAGAAGUAUUUGAGGACAUGAUGGCUAGAGCAAUAGUCAAGCAUGGGUAUUCAUUUUCGGUUGUGGAAGAUGACGGGCUACAACUUGUUAUAGCUCAUCUGAAUGAGGAUUUUAAAACGUUCACUAGGAAUACAGCUAAGUCUCUUUGUUUGAAGGUUCAGAAAAGGGAGAAAGAGAUUUGAGUCGGAUUUCUAGUAUACUUUGCAUUACAAGAGAUAUGGGGAUAUCUGUUGCAACUGAAGGAUAUCUAAGAGUUACUGCACAUUAUGUGGAUUCUGAUUGGAAAUUGGUGUGCAAAAUUCUGAAUUUUUGCCAUGUCGCUUCCACACAUACUGCAAUUGUCUUGUUUGAAGUAUUGCAUGAGUUAUCAAAGAGUGUGGAAUUGAGAAGAAAAUAUUCUCAAUAAAGCUAGACAAUGCAAGAUGUAAUGAUGUCAUCCAAAAGUUGUAACGUGACGGUGGAUCAGGUUCAACUAUGACAUUGUUAUGUUCUCACACUAGGGAAUGUGAUGGGAAAAUUUUAUUACUGCAUCAGUACUGAUGCGGGUUCUCCGAUUACAUGACGAUCGAACAGUGUGUAGAGGCGAGUACAGCCAAUGAAAAUGCGUUGGGUUACAUCUUUCCUUUGAACUGUCCGGAUGAGAUGUACCAACCCCACUAAGUUGUGCUUGCUCUGAUACGUUGGAUCUUGUCUUCUAGGUCAACAGCCUCUAUAGAUGCUUGGGAGAACACCUUGACGGAGUCUGACUCCCCUUCAUAUUUCUUACAGAACAUGAAUAACCCGACCAUAAUGGGAAUUCCGGGAAUGUCAUGUAGUAAUGGUACCAGUGGCUCUCGUCAGGAUUAAUGUGAAAAACGAUCGGUUCCCAACAGCCACACAAUGAUGCAAAACUCAUACUUAUAGAAGGAUGCUAGAACAGUCGCACUUUCCAGAGAGGGGGGGGGAGGGGUUGCAGGGGUUGGGUGGUUUGAGGUGGUAUUAGAGGGAACGAUGUAAGGGGCAUGUGGAUGCAGGAAAAAACAAUAAGCAUUCAAAGCAUAAUAUUUAUAGAAGCAGGCCCUAGCCAUCAACCGUCGCAAACAUGUACAAAAAGUAUUACAUGAAUUUUACAAAAGUACCCUACUAUACUAUCCAUUUACGACCGUAGUGCCCAGGUUUUACAGGAUGUCGACGACAAGUUUACUACGAGGACCCAGUUCACAGUCCUGAACCCAAAACAAAUAGUUGUUGUCUAUAAAAAUUCGACUAGAAGGAAGAAUAACUACAACAAUAUUGGACGAAGUGCGUCUGUGUACGUGUCUAAUCUGACCAUCAUACAUUUUUGGGUUGGAAUGAAGGCAGUCAAGUCGAACCCCCUGUUGUAGAGCAUGUUCGGCCACGGCCUCGAAAAGUGGCAUUGUACGGACAGAGACCUUUUUCCACCACACUAGCUCGCUUUCUCCUUAUCUAGGUGUUGACCUUAUGACUUGGGCUAUUCCUACUAGGGUUUGGUAGUUUUGGGAACUUCCAGGCAAUAUCUCGCGGUGCUUGCGGGACCGGCGUACUAUUGGCAGCGAACUGAACGGCGGUAAGUUGCUGAGGGUUGUCGGUCUCGGUGAGGGUCAUUCUGGUUGUGAAAUGGUUGGUGAGUGCUUCAAACAAUGCCCCACCCUUUCCAUGAGAAUCUCGGCAACGGCGUCGAUGUACUUGUACAUCGCAGCUUCGUCUUUCUAACCGUACAAUACUUACGAACUUACCAUACAUAAGGAUAUAAUGCUCCUCGUCUUCUUGACCUUUCGUGCGACACAUGGUGAUAAUAAUUGCAUUAUAUCCAGCCUAUGUAAAAUGUGUCCAUCACUUCAAAAUGAAUCGAACGUACCAAGGAUGUUCAUGACUAUGAGCCAGUGCCUGCAAAGAAAUCGCAUGGUGUCCAAACCACUUGCACACACAAUCAACUUGACCACUAAUGUUAUUCACCGUCACAACCCUGUCAUCUAUUCGAUCGUCUCGGUGUCUUCAAGACAAUGUACGAUAUGGAGGUCGGUUCGAGAGUGGGAUUACCUGGUCUGAGCUCGUACUCUUGGAUACGUGCAAACUAUUCCUGGAACAUUGUGAAGAUCUUUGGGGUGUAAACUGCUACAUCCUGUAUUCGAAUGCUAUGUAAGGCUAGGUAUUCCUUGCCUUGAAUUCCUCCAUUUUCUCUGCUUCUUGCCUACGUUGAACCAUCCUAAAAAGAGCCCAAUGUUGAGUAACUGGUGAGGAUGGCCGAAAUACAAAGCGAGUAGCAACAUAGUAUAGGCAGUGAAUACAUGGUAUGUGCAUUGAAAUUACCGUUUGAAAUGGUGGAAGAACUCGAACAGUGACAUAUCGGCACCAAGGAAACCGUGACCAGUUAUGUUGCAUGACACGACAAGCUGUGUGCUUACCAUCCCUGCCAUGUAAUGAUUCUUGAUCCACAUGGAUGACAACUUUUUCUGAAGCUGAACUAUCUUCUUGCACCAUGGAUGGUUACUGGGACCGUACGUGGGGAAAAAUCACGCAUCGUCGUCGUCCACACAUCAUCAAACUCAAUGACAUUUUCAACAGUGUAGAAAAGGAACAGUAUCCACUUUACGAGAUCCUGCGUGAACAAUGCAGGGGUGAGGUUGCUGUUUGCAUUCUACAAGAUAUGGAUGGUGCAGAGCGCAUGAUAAGUAUCUGAUAAUGGUUCAGUCAAGGCGUUUUCCAUGGCAGCAUAUUGGUUCGUGAAUAUUGUUUUAGGAGCUUUAUUAUUUAUGCAUCAGAAAAGUGCCUUCAAUAGCCACACGAAGGAAGGGAUGGUCUCCUCGUACAACAAAGCCGCUCCGGAAAAAAAUCCUUGCUUCUUGUUGAAGCCCACAAACAGAGAUGUGUGGAAUGAAAACAAACAACCCAAGGUAAUAUAAAAUUAAUGACAAAACAUAGUAAAAUACAAUAAGAAUGCGGUAACAUUUUUCUACUAGUAUUGUACCUCCACAAUAACAGCACAGCAACAAAAAGCAAUAACUCACAACAAUACAAAGGUAGUGCAGGAUUCACGACUUAGAGUUGUUCAAUUACGAGGAAUACUAAAAAUUUACCAAGAGGGUGGUAAUGCUUGUUUGUCAUGAACGUUGUAUCAAAAGGUAUCGAAUCCCCGAAGUAUGUGUAAUCAUCACGCAUUUGUUGGUCCGCCCAAAAUAUAUUCGUAAUGUCCUCCGCGCAAUCAACUUCCACAUCAUGCGAAAAUCCCAGACAUAGUUGAGUUCUUCCCUAAAGUACUCGGUAAUGGUUGUUCCCUUACCGUGGAGUAUUUGUCGUUGUGUAAUGCGAGUCAAAUGGUGCAUGUGGUCCACCGGAGUGCAUAUGACAUUCUCAACAGAACCAGUCGCGGCAGCAAUAAUUUUCGAACGAUGACCGAAUGCUAAUACAUGUCGUGGUAUUGAUCUCCAUCAUCAUACCAUGUGCAUCAGUAACCUUCCUAUUGGAAACCAGGAGGUGGGAAUACUUUUUCGGGUUGAUCAGAUGGUUGUGCUCGCCAACCCAAGAACUAAUGUAGUAAAGGUCAAGCGUUUCGAUGAGUCGAAUGUGUAUCAUAGCCUUGCAACCAAUCCGUGUUUCAUGGUUCCUAUGAGUAGUGUUUGUCUUAGGUGUGGGGUCUUUAAUCGCCUUAGCUGCCUUACCCUACCCAAACGUGGCCUUAGGUUUCACCGUACCAUUCUUACAAAACCCUGCCUUCGUACACGGGUAUACUACAUAUUUUCGUUUGUCACCGGGCUAUUCUUCCAUUUUGGCACCUUUGGUAGUCUACCCGAGUGGCAAAACCUUGUCUGUGUGUGUAUUGGUUAUACCAUUCACAAGCUUACUCAAGUGAAUUAAAAAACAUAUUUCUCUACUCCUUCACAUCAUUCGGUCCAAUGUGCUUUCCUGCAACAUAUCACCCAAAAGGGGCUUGAUAAGCACCCAAAACUGUAAUUAAUACUAGUGGCUAACGUUUACGCUUACCAAUUAACAAUACUCUUCACACAAGUACUAAAAAAUGUAAUGAAUACUAGUCGUUGACGUUUAAGCUUAGGAAUUAACAAUACUCUUAAAACUGUAAUGAAUACUAGUCACUAACGUUUAAGCUUGGGAAUUAACAAUACUCUUAAAACUGUAAUGAAUACUAGUCACUAACGUUUAAGCUUAGCAAUUACCAAUACUCUUCACACACUGCUUGGUUACCGUACCAGUAUUACUAAAUUAUUUAUGCUUUACUACCUCAGUAGUGAUGUCCUCAUGUUGCCAGAUCGGGAUAUUAUUUGCCUUCCCUAGUGCCAUUACUGCAACUCCACAAGCAACCACAAAGCAUCAAUGAUCGAACCACGCAGUUAUUCAUUUUCAUUUUUUAGGCAAAAUAUUGAGGGACCACAAAUCCUAAACCCUAUACCCCAUUUACCCUAAAUUGGGAAUCGAAACCACAAACAAUAAAACCUAAUAACACCAAGGUAUGAACAAUUGCACAUACCUUCGUUGUGUCCUGCCUGCUGAUGAGUUCGACCUCGUCUUCCAGUUCUAGGUUGAGACCAAAUCCUCUUACUACAAUUUUACUGGGUGACCCAACAUCAGUUACUAGUUUGUCUUCAUCACAGUCAAUGGCCAUUGCCUCGCCAUCAUCAUAGUCAAUGGCCACUGCCUCGCCAUCAUCACAGUUAAUGGUCAUUGCCUCGCCAUCAUCUUCUUCGUAAGGAGACCCAACAACAAGAUUGCAAUACAGUGGAUCCGACUCAUGCGCCUCUACAAUCAUCUGAUCAUCGUCAUUUAGGUCUACCACAAACCCUCUGUCCGAUCCGGCCAUUCCAACAUUCACACUUUAACGAACCCUACAAUUAACUCAAUCAAUCGGGAUUUCGAGUAUCUCUUUAAAGGUUUUGCUUGGCUUUACGACGACGCAAUUACAACUAGAUGUUGUUUGUGUAAACCUUAGCCAAUAAGGAGAUAGUUACUAAAUAAUUUUAUUACGCCUCCUCAUUUUAAUUUUUAUCGUAGCAUUAUUAUUUUUCGAUUUGCGCCAUUAGCCCUAAAUUCCCACCCCAAGUAGCCAAAUAUAUCCCGCCCAAUUUUGUUACUCACAAACAAACGCGGAAUCAAGUUUUUAUUACUUUCUUACCAGUAUACUAUUACGUUUCGUUUUCCCACCCAUUAAUGGCCGCUUAAUUCCUGCCCAUCCCCGCCAAUUCUGUCCCGCCAACCCCGACCCCAAAUACAAUCUGUAUUUUCAGUAAUUAAGUAAUUGUUAGAUAAUAGACAAAAACAUGGUGAGGAGUAUGAAUCGACCGCAUGCAGCUAGCCCACUUCCCUGACAACAACUUGUAAAUCCGUAUCCGUGUGUUGCAGACAUUAAAUCACAGUCGUUGAUUUAAUCUGUCCGCACCCAAGAAAAAUUGGAUUUGAAGGAAAGCUUUGACUUAAAAAGUGGAUAACUCCAGUUGGACUGCUCAGUUGUUUUGAUUUGAUAUUAAAGCUACUGACUUGGGAAAAGCCAUAAACAAGUAAGUUAAUAUAUAUAAUAUGUAGGAAAGAAAGAAAGAUAGAUAGAAACCUUUUAUUUUGACAAAGGAAAAGAAAGAAAGAACGAAACCUUGGAGAUGGUGUUACGCGGUACCUUGUUUUCCAUGCAAAAACUUAGAAAAGCAUGUGCGCUGCUGGGGAGGCACGAUUCCCAUGCACAGAUGAGAGAUGAUCCCUGCUUAAUUACCACCCAUCCCAAUCCAUGUCUCCUCUCUCUCUCUCUCUCUCUCUCUCUCUCUCUGUAUAUAUAACCCCACCAAUUCUACUCACCAGAAACAAUAAUCAACACACAUACAGAAAGGCUGUUAGUUGGCUGGAUUGAGAAGAGAAAUUAUGAGCAAGUCAAUGAUGUCAUGGGCGGCAGCGAUGGCAGCUGCGGUGGUGAUGAUGAUGGCAGUGGAUGAAGGAGUAGAGGCGGCGAUUGGGCUGCAGCAGCCGUUGAAGCUAAAGUGGCACCACCACCGGAGGGAAACGACUACCGUAGGGAAACGAGUUGCAAGUACGCAGAGGAGUUUGUGAAGCACCAGGUUAAGCUGUUUUGGAACAGAGAUCAAACAAUCACCGCUAAGCUCCUACGUUUGCUCUACUCCGACUGCUUCGUCACCGUACGUAGUGUAAUUCAUUCAUUCAUUCAUCUAUUCAUUCAUUCAUUCAUUCAUCUAUGUGACAUGAUGACAGGGGUGCGAUGCAUCAGUACUGCUGGAUGGGGCUGAUUCAGAGAAAAAAGCACCUCAGAACACAAGGCUAGAUGGGUUUGAACUUAUAGAUAGGAUCAAGAAAGUGAUGGAGAUAAGGUGCCCAGGCGUUGUCUCAUGUGCAGACAUCCUCAACCUUGCAACUAGAGAUGCAGUUCACUUGGCAGGAGGUCCAUCAUAUCCAGUCUUGACUGGUAGAAAGGACGGCUUGAUAUCAACCGCGUCAAACGUCGAUCUCCCAUCACCUUCUAUCUCCGCCAAUGCUGCAUUAGCCUACUUCCAAUCUAGGGGAUUGGAUGUUCUAGACAUGGCCACUCUUUUAGGUAGGUAUUCACACAACAACAACCACCUUCAUCAAAUUCACAUAUCCAUCACACCAAUUUUCUAUAUUUCAACAAGCUUUUAUUAUUAAUUAAUUAAUGCAGGUGCCCAUUCCAUUGGUACGACCGACUGUCGCUACAUCGUCGAUCGGCUUUACAACUUCAAAAACACAAAGAAGGCAGACCCCAGCAUGAACAAACAAUUGGCUGACCAACUCAGGAAGAAAUGCCCUCCUCUAUCAAACACUUACACCACCAACUCCUCGAGGGUUUUUUUGAACCCAGAUUCUGCAGAUACCUACCAGCUCAGCAACUCCUACUAUAAGAGGGCCUUGUCUUACCAAUCCGUUCUAGGUGUCGACCAGCAGCUACUCUACACUAAUGACACCCUACAAAUCACCCAAGAAUUUUCCCGGGCUGACGGCUUUGAAAACUGGAGAAGAUCUGUCGCCCUCUCCAUGGCUAGAAUGGGCAACAUCAAUGUCUUAACAGGGAAUGCAGGGGAGAUACGUAGGAAUUGCAGAUACACCAACAGUAAACUAAGUCAUCUCAUCUCAACAUGAUGAUACUUCUUCUGACACAAUCUAUGUUGUUGUUAUUGUGUAACAUAUAAAUAGCAUGAAAAUACGAUAAAUAAGACUGGCAAGAUUGCAUGAUCUUGUAUUCAUUAAUGAAAAGAGAGACUGAUAUUUUCUGUGUUCAACUAAAAGCUACUUCUCUUUACUGCAAAUGUCACAAACUCAAAACAAGACUAUUAUUUACUUUCGACAACUUUUCACUCUCUUUGAAACCAACCCUAUAAAACUGCUAAGCAAGCACUAGAAGGUCUGGUCUGCAUAAAGAAAACUUCCCUCGCUGUCUAUACCAUAUUGGGAGAACAAAAUUUUCAGUUUCAUGACCUGUACUAGGGAAGGCAUGCAAGCUCUGGUGGAAACAAUCAAUCAAUAACAUCUGGUAAAUUCCUAGUCGGAAUAGAAAAUAAAUCAAUUGACGAAGAAAUUCUGUUGCAUGUUAAUGGCCCAUAGAAAAGAUGAACAAGAAAAACUGCAAGCAUCUGGAAUUACUAAAAUAAGAAUACAUAAAAAGUAGUUACCUCGCGUACAGAUCACAGGUAUUCCAACGAGCUUCGGCUAACAGGAUUCCUAGUACUAGAAUCCAAAGUUCGCAACAGCUCCUUCAAUCGACCCUUGAUCAGGAUGUUUAUAUAGAUGUCAAAAUAUGCAAAAAGCAAUUGCGUGUGGGCAGCAGGCAGAUGCUCCAGAGGUGCGGAUAGUAAUUAACCUUAGAACAGUCCAUAUCAACUUCUAAUACGUUUUACUCUAGAAGGUCGAACGAACAGAAAAUUUGACCAAGUGUUGCGCAAACUCGGCACAGAAAGCUUUGAAUACCAGUUGAGCCUGAGGUACUAAAGACUCUGGAUGAUUCUGUAACCCUACUCACGAUUCUGAGUCGGGCUUGCUCUUUGGAUGAACUGCUUCAGAAACAAAUCACUAUUACAAAUGUAUACUGGGAAAACCGUUAAAUAACGAUGGGGAAUAUGAUUCGCCAAUUGCUGUAUCCUAGUCUUUUAAUUCCCGCAGCCCACAUCAUCUGAAUUAAAAAGCAAAAAUCAGAUUCAAAUACAAAAUCACAUCACAGUGGUUUAAUAUCUCUAUACCAGACAUAUACACAAAGUUUCACCACCACACUUGAAAGACUGCCUAAAGAGCUUUGUAUAUAAUGACUUUGAGCAUUAUUGAAAAAGGUCAGAUGCUGCUGAAACAUUAUUAUGCACUGCCAGUUAGUCAGUCUUAUUGUCUUGCAUUCCAACCAAAAAUCAUUUGUAGACCAGAAAUCAUCCUCUGUUGUACAUCUAAUCCAGGAGCAAAAUCAUAAUUAUCAGGUCAGAUGCACCAACUUUGCCGUUUCAGUUAAUACAGUAGAGAAGAUCCUUCCCUGUCAUUCCUCUCCAGUACCCCGAACAAUAAACAUGAUCUUACACAUCAUACAUAGGAUUAAAAAGUUAAUCUUACAAAAGUUCUUAAGGGGGUAACGCUAUGGCAUUAAGUUGCUUCCCCUUGAUGGCAUGCAUAAAACACUAUUCACGGAUUGCCUCUAUAUAUCAAAUUGAAUCCAAAGAAGAGUGCACAUUCAUCGUGAAUAUGAAAUUCUGAUAAUAGUACCCAAUUCAUAAAGAAAAACAACGAAAAUAGUACCCAGAAAAACCAGAAAGAGAAAAAAAUGCAAGAACUUGGUAACUGAACGCAAGUUCGUGUUCCCUAAAACGCCAAACAAAGAAUCUAUAUCAGCAUUCCAGGUGCAGUAAGAUAAGAAUUCCAUGAACUCCACCAGAAGAAAAAACUGACAAUGACAAACCUCCCACAUUCGAAGAGUUUCACUGAAAGAUAGCUCCCGCCGGAAGAGAACCAUCAACAUCCGAAAUGCAAAGUGCAGGCUUUCAGCACCUAUUCGCGACAGGUGUGCAUAAAUUUCCCUGUCCCAAACUUCUAAUAUGUGCCACAGUGCCUGCAAUUGCUUCAGCACAACAGUUAGUGCUUCCAUCUGAAAGUUCUCACGCUGUGCAUAGGUGAAACCAGAGGUUACAGAAGAACACUUAAAAGCUUAAAACGUGCUUUUAAAAUUAUGUAUACCAUUCUCCGUAGAAGCAUCUCAAAGAACCAAAAUGCAUCCGCAUCAUCCUCGAAUAGUACAACAAAAGGAGACAGCAAAUCUCUCAUACCUAAACACACAAAGAAGCAAUCAAGAAGACUUUUUCUGUAAAGCUUCCAACAAGAACCAUCAAAAAACGGGAAAGAAAACCUGAAGAAUGUGUACCUUGACAAUAACCCGUGGCAGGAUCAAUCCAGGCAUAAACCGCAAGUAUAUCAGACAUUCUAGCCAAAUUUUUCUUGUCCUCGUAGAAUACAAGAUGAAUGUCUGUUCUUACCACGUCAACAACUGAGACAUGAACAAGGUUGUUAGCGUAGGGCAAGAAUUGGCUCCUACUUACCUUAGAAAAUUGAAGUAAGUUGGUUCCGUACCAAUUCCGUGCAGAGUCCAAAGCCAUUCAGAUACUCUUUCUUCACCAGUAGGCCCUUUGCGAGAUGAAUUCUGUUGAGAUACGACAAAAUAGUUAUUAUUAUUAUUUGUUCCUUUUGUAACAUGUCUUGAUUAGGAAGUUGUUACCUACAGAUAUAGUAAUAGAGUCCAAUAAGGACAUUUCUUUCUUGCAUAGGGAGGCCGUAUUAUUUUAAUAAGGGUAGUAGUCUUUUCCUACAAGGACUUGGACUCUAACCCUAUGGAUGAAGGAUCAGCACUUGUAGCUCGUGAUGCUCCUAAGAACAACAAGUACUAUUAGAAAUACAGACGACACGGCCACAUCCGUGAGGAGUGUUGGGGAAUUCAUGGGAGACCCACUGACCAACUGACUCAACACAGUCAGAAUAAGGCAAAAGGGAAACCCAAAAGUGGAAAUCUAGCAGAAAAAGGAGAGGAAGGCAGCAGUUCGCAAGACUCUUUCUCAAAGGGACAGAUCGAGCUCUUGGAGAAGAUGUUUGCAAAAUUUGCACCUCCUCUGCAAACAAAUCAGUUAACAUAGCUGAGCAAAGGUACUUUAUCUUAUGCUCAUGCUAGUAGAAUUCAAGAUAAUACAGUUUGGAUUUUGGAUUCGGGAUACACUGAUCACAUGACAGGAAACCAAAAUUUUAUACAAGAUAUUCAACCUUACCCGAAAAACUCAGGGGUAGGGAUUUUCGAUGGAACUCUUGCAUCCAUCUAGGGAGUUGGGAAAGUGAAAGUGGCACCAUCGAUUACCUUGUUUUCUGUCCUCUUUGUUCCCAAGUUGAGUUUCAACCUUAUAUUCGUUAGUCAACUAACACGCGAUCUAAAGUGUGAGGUUGUCUUUGGUGAUUGGAAAUGUGAGUUUCAAGAUUCAACUUCGGAGAGGAUGAUUGGCAGAGCUAAUUUGGUUGAGGGGCUUUAUUACCUACAAGGAGAUGCAUCAAGUUACAAGGUUGCUUUGGGUUCUCAGACUAAUAGUGUAGAAGAUAUAGUUUUUGUUGAUUUGUAUGAAUGAUAACUUGAUAAUAAUCUGUAUGUACAUGCCUCCUUUAUAUAGAAGAGGAGGCUUGAGCUAUAAGUCUACAAGUUAGAGUUCUACUAGGACUAGGAUUAUAAUACUAUCCGCACUAGGAAAGGAAAAAAUAUACAGGAAAAACUAACCUAAUAAUACUAACACCCUAAUACAAAUCCCAUUAUAAUUCUACACCCCCCCCCCCCCCCCCCCCCCCCCCCCCCUUCCUUUCCUUAUUUUUUAUUCUUACAACUUUCUCUUUAACAUCUCAAUCAAGUUCUUCAAACUAUCUCGAGGUAGAGGCUUAGUCAGGAUAUCUGCUAUCUGCAGUUUUGAAGGCACAUAAUCCAUUUCAAAUUCCUGUUUCGUCACUUUUUCUGUGAUGAAAUGUCUAUCCAAUUUAACAUGUUUUGUACAAUCAUGGUGAACUGGAUUCCUUAUGAUGCUCAAUGCUGCCUGGCUAUCACACAACCGUUUUACAAGUUGAUCCCUUCCAACUUCAGUUCUUCGAGGAUGCGUUUUAGCCAAAUUCCCUCACAUAUGCCUUCAGCUACUGCCCUGUACUCAGCUUCAGUGCUGCUCCUUGAGACCACUCCUUGUUUAUUGCUUCUCCAUGUCACUAGAUUGCCCCAUACAUAGGUGCAAAAUGCUGAUGUUGAUCUUCGAUCUGUUAAAUCUCCAGCCAAACUAAAUAUGUAUACAUAAUGAAUCAUCAUUGUGUGUUUUUCUGGAGAUAAAGGCCCAACCCGGGUGUACCUUUUAAGUAUCUAAUAAUUCUCAUUACUGCCUUGAGAUGUUCCUUAUUAGGUUGAUGCAUAUGUUGGCUACCAAUACUCACUGGGAAUGAGAUGUCUGGACAAGUAUGUGCCAAGCAUAUUAACUUACCAACCAGACAUUGGUAGCUCCCCCUUUCCACCGGAGCUGGAUCGGGGUUAUGUGUGAAUUUCAUAUUUGCUUCCAUUAGAGUACUUCCUGGUUUGCAGCCAGUCAUUCCAGUUUCCUUCAAUAAAUCUAGGACGUAGUUGCAUUAUGAUAGAACUAGACCUUUACUCGAUCUAACCACUUUGAUGCCUAGGAAAUAUCUUAAGUAUCCAAGGUCCUUUAUCUCGAAUUUAGAUGCAAGUUUCAACUUCAGCCUCUGAAUCUCACGUUCAUCAUUUAUAAUGAUGACAAUGUCUUCCACGUAAACAAUCAGAAUGGCAAUUUUUCCAGCUUGUCCAUGUCGAACAAACAUGGUAUGGUCAGUCUGGCAUUGAUGGUAGCCAUAUCCCUUACUGCUUGAGAGAAUCGUUCAAACCAUGCCCUUGGAGAUUGUUUCAGUCCAUACAAGGCUUUCUUGAGCUUACAUAUUUUCCCUGGUUCAACUUGAACUCCUGCUGGAACUUUCAUGAAAAAUUCUUCACUUAGAUCACCAUUUAGGAACGUGUUUUUCACUUCUAAUUGGUAGAGAGGCCAGUCUAGGUUUACUGCCAAGCUGAGAAGGACAUGUACUGUCUUUAGUUUUUGUACUGGGCAAAAGUAUCAUCAUAAUCCACUCCAUAUGAUUGAGUGAACCCACGAGUGACCAGCCUUGCUUUAUAUCGCUCUAUGCUUCCAUUUGAAGCAUACUUGACAGUGAAAAUCCACUUGCAGUCAACGAUGGAUUAUUUGGUAGGAGUUGUACCAUCUCCCAUGUGCCAUUUUUCUCUAGUGCUCUGAUAGAAAAAAUGAACUGCUCUCUACUCCAAAUUUUCAAUUCAGACCUCAUGUCUCACCGGAGGUCCGACCACCAGAAUUUUCUUCACCUUCUGAUCAAAUGAAAGCUACGAUUUCGGUAACUACACCUAAGAUUAAUUCUCAAAUCAUAGGCCCAAUGUCAUAUGCGGUGGCGGUGUCACAUGCCUUGUAGUCAACUCGUCCUACCAGUCCUACGACGAUUGCAAUCAAAGACAACGACAUCUCCUUUUCUCGCAAAAAUGUUCAUGGAUAUCUCUAUACCUCGGGGGAGCUGCGUGCCAGAAUCUGUGCCCCUCUUUGAAAGGCCUUCAUUAUCAAGCUCAUGGGAAAGAGGGUUGAUAUCCAUGUAUGAUCAUCUAAAGAGUAUGUGGAAACCAGAGGGUAAGAUGAGAAUGACAGACCUCGAUAAUAACGUCUUCAUCGUCUAUUUUGAUAAUCCCUAGGAUUAUGAUUUCCACUAACGGGUGGUCUGUGGAUGAUCCUAAAUAACUGCUUAGUUUGCCAUGGAUGGGACCCCUCUUUACAUGUUAUUCCAACCCUACCACCGAAGAUGGUUUUUUGGAUUCGAUUUCCCAAGCUCCCAAUCCGAAUUGACCACACCUCCAAUUCAUGGAACUCCGACUACUCGAGGUUGUUGACCGGUUGCUGGUACCGUCGGAGAGAAACGUCCGGAAUUUGGGCCUUGGCUCACAUUCCAUAAGAAAACCUGGAAACCUAAAAGGAAAUAAAUCACCUCCCCACGGAACACUCCAUCAGCAACGGCUCCCUCAAGCAAAAAAAGGAAAGGAUCGAUUGAUUUCAGGGAAAGGAAAACAAUUUGAGUUGGAUCUGCUGAUUCUACUAUGCAACCCUUGGACAAAACUGUAGGAUCUGCAUCAACUUCCUAAUCAGCUCCGCAUCCGUCGUCAGUGAAGGGUUCGCCUGAUGAUGCUCUUAUACCUAAGUCCUCUAUUAGCUGAGUCAAACUGGGGCACGGGCCGGGCCUAAAAGUGAAACAAAAAAUUCCACCAACCUCAAGAAUUUUAACCCAACAUAUCUCCAAAGCCAUUCCACCUAUUAAUGCAUUGACCCAAAGCCCAAGCCCAAAUACUCUAGCGGAACGGAGUGGUACAGGUGGCGAUGAUCGAGAAUAAGCCACGAAGAAUUCUACCAAGUCUCCGAUAGCCUCUAUCCCCAAAGUGCGGCUUAACCAAGUCAAAGAAACCUUCCCAAAUAUUGAACUUGCCUAUGUAUCUCCCACGGAAGCAUGCACUGGUACUAUCACUAAUAUUAUUGCAACUAAACCACAAGUUUUCCCUGCUCCAAAGUUGGAUGACUCGUCAAUUGCUAAUCAAGCAAUCACCAAUACGCUUUCGGUGAUGGGCAAAGUCUUUGCUAAUUACAAACAAGUAAUUAGUAACAAGCAAGUAACCAAACUCGAAAUAAAACAGAGGAAGGGAAAGUUAACUAGAAAUCUGACUUGGAGGGUUUCAAGUUUGGAGUUACAGCUAUGAAAUCAAGGGCUACGACACUGACUCAAUCGGGGGCUGCUUCAUUUGUGGUUUCGGAGGAACCCACCCAAGGCCGGUUUGUCCUAAAUCGACCACAAACCGAUUGUGCCGACCCUGAAGAGAUGGAUAGUGUUCCUGAGACGAAGGAAUCCACAACUAUAGCUGCUAUUGCAACUUAAAUUUCGGGUUCUUUUGUUUUGUUGUUAUUAUUUUAAUGAUUAGUUUUUUUUCAUGAAAUUUCUGGGGUGACGGCCAUCAAAGUUUUAUUACUACUUUGUUGCAUUUUUUACAGGUUAAUCAACCUAAUGCAAUUGCUAUCUUGGAACCAAAAAUCAAUGGAGAGAAUUCUCUUGUAGUUAUAUGGAAACUCCCUUUCUUUGAUUAUUUUGUGGAAGAUGCAGCUGGGCGUGUUGGGGGGAUUUGGGUGCUCUAAAAUCACCAAGAUAUCCAACUAACUAUCCUAUGGAACUUGAGUCAAUCAGUCCAUUGUGAGAUCGGAUGUGAUAGAGAAGUCCAGGGAUGUGUGUCCUUUGUGUAUGGGGCCCCUAGAUGUUUGGACCGUUUAGCACUUUGGGAAGAUUUGAUGGAUGUGCAAUAGAAUUUUGAUCUCCCUCGGCUUGUGAUGGGUGAUUUCAAUGCAUCCAUCUCAGUUGCGAACAAGCAAGGGGGUGCUCCUUUUGCUCUGGUCCAAGCCAAGGAUUUUAAAAAUUGUCUUGACAUGUACUGUUUGUUCGACCUGGGUUUUAUGGGACCUCGAUUUACAUGGAGUUGGGGUCCCCUCUUUGUCAGGUUGGAUCAAGCUCAUAUCAAUGAAGAGUGUCUCCUCAAGUUUCCAAAAUCUACCAAUUUGCUUCUUCCUAAAAUCAAGUCGGAUCACCGGCCAAUACAGAUUUUUUUGGAAAAUCCCAAGUCUCGUUCUCGUUUACCUAGGCCUUUUUGUUUUAAUGCGGAUUGGCUUAGCCAUGAGGAUUUCAGUCGCCGCCUUAGUGGAGGAAUGGAAUUACCGGGGAGGUAUUUCUUCUUCUUUGCAGGAUCUCUAGUCCAAACUUAUCAUUUGGAACAAAGAAGUUUUUGGAAAUAUCUUUAAGAGGAAGCGGAAGUUGGAAAGGUAUUUGGCCAAACUUGAAGCUAGGCCGAAAACAAUCCUUCAAGCCGAGUGUUUGCUUUGGAAGAUAAAGUGAGAAAGGAACUCGAGGUCACUCUUUGGCAAGAGAAUCUAUUUUGGCUACAGAAAUCAAAGAACCAAUGGACCUAGGAAGGCGACCGCAGUACUAGGGUUUUCCACACCUCAACCUUACGGUGUCAAGCUUUCAACCAUAUUAAGUGCCUUAAAAACAACGACGGCGAGUGGGUCUGGGAUCAAUAGGAAUUGAUGACCAUGGCACGAGAUUAUAUCAUCAAACUUUUCACAGCCAAUUCUGGACCAUGACCGCAGCUACAUGAGAUUCAUCGUAACUCACUCUUGGGGACUGAUUCCAAUCAUCAAUGAGACAAUCAGUUGGAAUGUCCUUUUUCUCCCUAUCUUUUUACCUUAUGUAUUGAACGUCUUAGCAAUUUAAUUAUGAAUAAGAUCAAUGCUAGAUUAUGGGAGCCUCUCUCUCUAGGUAGGGGAGGCCCUCCACUCUCUCAUUUGUUCUUUUUGGUCAUGCCAAUACGGCCCAAUGCAUUGCUAUUAAAGAUUGUCUUGAUACUUUCUGUGCGGCUUCAGGCCAAGUUGUCAGUAAUGAGAAAUCUAGAAUAUUUUUUUCUACGAAUGUAUCUACUUGGUUAAACGUUCUAUUUGUGCUAAUCUUGAGUUUCAUGAGACUCUUAAUUUGGGAAGAUAUCUUGGCGUGCCUAUUUUACAUGGUCGUAUUAGGAAGAAUACUUAUCAGUAUAUCCUUGAUAAUAAUAUGUCUCUAGCUAGUAGGGAUACUCUUGAUAUUUCAAUGCACAAUGUCAUCCCUUCCUAUGCUAUGCAGACUAUUUCUCUUCCAGGCCACAUUUGUAGUAAGAUUGAUAGUCGGAUCGAUAACUUUAUGUGUGGUAGGCUCCCAGAUGAGAGGAAAUCCCACUCGAGUUCUUGGGAUGUUGUUUACAGACCAAAAGACCGAGGAGGGCUUGGACUCUGGAAGGCAAAGGAAUUGAACGAUGCGUAUUUAAUGAAACUUGUUUGGAAUAUCUUCUCGCAACCUAAUGAACUUUGGGUGAGAGUGCUUUUAUAAAAAAUAUACCAGGGAUGGCCCUGAUGGAGCUACUCCAAUGCGUGUCAAAACAUCGUUGGCGCUUUGGAGAGGAUUGCACAAGGUUUGGGAUGUGCUGUUCAGAGGUAUCCACAUGGGUAUUCAGGGAGGUAGAGACACAAGCUUCUGGAAUUAUGUGUGGUUGGAUCAUGAUGUAAAGCUUGCUGAUUUCAUCUCUCUAAGUCAACGUCAACAUUAUGCCCAUCAAACAAUUCACGACCUUGUUGAUAAUUAUGGUAACUGGAAUUGGGAGAUGUUAAAACCUCUCUUACCAAACUCAGUGAAAGGCCUCAUCGAAGGAAUGUCCCCACCGCAAGGACAAGACAAUGAUUCUUUCAUAUGUGGGCCAGACAAAAGAGGGCGGUUUACCAUUAAAAGUGCUUACAACUUAUUGGUAGGUAUUGAUUCGGCUAAUGGGCAAUCGGAUUGGAGAAAGUUAUGGAAGUGGAAGUGUCCUAAUCGAGUGAUACAUUUUCUCUGGCUUGCUUAUCAUGAUCGUCUUAUGACCAAUGUCGAACGUCAUCGUCGACAUUUUUCUUCUUCAGCGAUGAUGUGUACUAUAUGCCAUCAGCAACCAGAGACUCUACUUCAUGCCAUCCGAGAUUGCACGCCAGCAAGACAAUUGUGGAUUCAGGUGUUGGGUACGCAACUUCCCAACAAUUUUUCCAAUUACCUUUAACUGAAUGGAUUCUUGCAGGUAUUGGCAAUAUCAAUUUUAAACUCGAGAUUGGUAUCCUAUGUUCGCUUAUUUGGAAACAUCGCAACGAGUUUAUCUUUAGGAAUGUUCAAAUCUCUGGUGAUCAGCUCCGCCUACGAGUCCUUCAUUGGAUCGACGGGGUUUAGAAGACAAUGAGAAUCGGAGAUUUGGUCCUUUCUAAAAAAAAGUCACAGCGUGUUGAGAGCUUGGUGGGAUGGACGGUUCGUAACGAUAUGGAAAUCACCAUCAAUACAGAUAGUUCGGUCUUACAAGCAUCAAAGAGUUCAGCGGGAGGAGGCAUUUUGAGAGAUUGGAUGGGAAUUUGUAAAGGAGCGUUUGCAGCAAAUUUCGGAGACUGUACCAUUACACGAGUGGAAAUUAGGGCUGCGAUAUUGGGCCUUCGACUUGCUUAGGACUCCAGUUUUGAAAUGUCAAUUUGCAAGUAGAUUCAACUUUGAUUGUCUCCUAUGCCCACAAUUCGCAUGCAACCGAUCUGCGGCACCAGGUGAACAUUGAUGAACUGCACCAACUCCUUCAUAGAGACUAGACGGUGUUAGUUACCCAUACUUAUCGGGAAGGUAACCGAGUAGCGGACCUCUUAGAACAUGUUGGGCAUUCCCUUUCGUUUGGGACACACAACAUUACUUCUUUUCCUCGUAACAUUAUUGAUUGUAUUAGUGCCGAUAUGAUUGGGGUUUCGUUUAUACGAACCGUUAUUUUUAAUAAUUAGGACAUUUAGUCCACUGUUUCUACCAAAAACUAGCAAGCCUGUCUUUAAGCCUAGAUGACCAAUUGAUGAUCCAAUAAUAUGAACCUCUUUAGCUAAACCAUCAAUCCAAGUUGACAGUUUAUGAUUUUAGACAACUAAAGAUCCAAGACUUAGUUAAUUGGGCCACUAGAGACCCCUAUGAUUAAAUAUUGGGCCAUUAGAGACCCUUAUGUUAGUAUUGGGUAAUUAGAAACAUAUUGUUAGUUUUUAUGAUAAGAUGAAACUUGAAUCCCAAUGUUAGUAAUUCAUUUACAGUAAUAUGUUAUGAAUAGAACACGAAAGACUGACCCCAAACCACCCACCAGGGUGUUUUGAUAGUUGAUGCAGGAGCAGAAUGGAGUUGAUUCGAGAAGUGGCAAAGUGGACUUGGUUUUAAGACACGUGUUUUAUAAUUUACGUGUUGAGACUUGUUUUAACUAUUUAUGAACAUUUACUAGUAGUUAGUUAUUUGAGUAAAGAUCUCUAUCAUUUUAUUUUAUUUUAUUUUGAAGUUCUCUCAACGGUGCAUUUUUUCAUUUAUUAAAUAGUAAGAAGUCAGGGUGUUUUAUAUUAAUUACUGGAUUUAAGUAGAGUGCCUAUUUUUUAAUUUGUUUUUCUUAUUUUCCAAAUUUCAAAAAAUAAAAGAAAAGGGACGGCUCAAAUUCAAUCUGAAAACAGACGGCCCAUAUCUAAUAAAAAUAGUGGGAGCACCUGGUACACUGGGUGCACUGAAGACUUCACCAUCUAUAUAUUCAGAGAAUUAGUAUAUUUUUCAUAUGUGACCUAGUCAUUUCAAAUUCUAUACCAUUCGGCCUAAUAUACUAAACCGUUCUGAAUUCGUCGUCGCUGCCAUUUACUCGCCCCACUCUUUCAAUUUCCAACUUUUUUGUUAGAGCAUCUUCAUCCCUACUAUUUUAGCAAUUGCUAAAUGAGGUGGAGAGUGAUGUGGCAUCCAAUAAGCAAUUUCUAGGGAUGGAGGAGUAUUUGCUAAUUUAGAAAGUCAAUUAGCAAUGUCACAUUGGCAAAUUGUUACAUUUUUUAAGAAAUGCAGUUAUGAAUAAAACAUAAAUUAAAGAUAAAUAAUAUUUAAUAAAUUUUUAUUGGUUCAUAUUUAUUGUGUUUGAUUGAAAAAAUGAUGAAUAGAAAUUGCUAAUCAAUUGCUGGGAUGGAGGAGGUUAGAAAUUGUCGAAUGAUUUAAUUGCUAAAAUUGUUGAUAUGACAAUAAAGUUCAUAUUAAAAAUUAAUUUAUGGGAUGGAGAUGAUGAAACACCCAGAUUUUUUAUGAUUUAUUAAAUGACUAAAUUACCUUGCCAGGGAACUUUAAAACNNNNNNNNNNNNNNNNNNNNNNNNNNNNNNNNNNNNNNNNNNNNNNNNNNNNNNNNNNNNNNNNNNNNNNNNNNNNNNNNNNNNNNNNNNNNNNNNNNNNNNNNNNNNNNNNNNNNNNNNNNNNNNNNNUUUAAAUACUUUAUUUCAAAUUCCAGGUCUAUACUUGCCACAUCCCGAAUCAGCUUCACUCUGCUCCUGCAAUAACUUUAAAACACCCUAGUGGGUGGUUCAGGGUCAUGCUUGCGUGCUCUAAUCUUAACAUUAAUAAUUAAUAAAAAUGUGUUGCCAACAUAUUAUCCAACUUCAUCUAAUCAUAUAGAGCUAUUUCAUCUCUAGUAAUGUUCCACUAUUAUUAAGGUUCUCUAACUUCUACUAACAUCAUACAUCUGGGGUAUCAUGAUCAUAAAUCACUUGCUAACUCAAAACUAACUAGUCUUAACAUCCAUUUGACGGACUACUCUAAUGGCCCAACACUAUCAUAAGAAUCUCCAGUGGCCCAAUAUCUAAUUGUAGGAGAACACAGUAAUUGUAGGAGUCCCUAGUGGCCCAAUUAUAAGUAUUGGAUCUCUAUUGGCCCAAUAUCCAAUUAUCCGAGACCAUAAGCUGCCAACAUGGAUCGGAUGUCUAGUAAGAGAGGUAUGUAUUACUAGAUCAUCUAUUAAUCUUCUAGACUUAGAGUAGUUCUUGUUGUUUGCUAGUUAUCUAAUCACAUCAUACUCUAGUUUAAUCAUAUAGGCACGUCGUAUGAGCAUCAUAACUGAACAUAGGAAAAUAAGGACACAUAUAGAUUCAUAAGUACUAACUGAGUAACCAUAUUACAUAAAGUAGUCCUCUUUAUGUAAUCCUAUCAUAAGUAAGANNNNNNNNNNNNNNNNNNNNNNNNNNNNNNNNNNNNNNNNNNNNNNNNNNNNNNNNNNNNNUCAAAUACCCACUAGAUUGCUCUAAUGGAAUCGUUUAUUUCCUUAGGGUCUUUCUACUUCUAUAACUCAAAUUGAUUAUCUAACAAAACCAAGUGAUAGUGUAAUGAUUUUUUGUUUGAUUAUUUUUGUAUCUAAUUAUAAACUAAUGACUGAAAUAAAACAAAUCAAAAUGCUAGAAAUCGAGUUUCAAAGAUAGGAUGAAAGGUUGUUUGGACUCAAAUCCACAAUAGCUAGCAAUGCAUGGAUGAAUGAGAAGUUAUCUCAAUUAUUCAAGUUAAUAAGAUGAAGGUUGUUCGGAUUCGAAUCCACUAAAGCUUCCAAUCAUGGAUGAACGAUAAGUUAUCUUGAUUAUUCAGGUUAUAAUGCCUUGGAAAUUUUCUAAGGUAGUCUUAGAUCACUCACGCGCCUCUAAGGAUCUAUUUCGUCUAACCGUAGAUUCCUCUCUUGAGCUAAUAUACACCUAAACAAAAUAAAACGCAUUAAUUAUGUUCGAUGAAAUGCCACAACGAUAAACAUGCAAAAAGCCUAAACGAUUCGCUCCUCUCUCGAGCUAACGAAUAAUCUAGGGUUCUUCCUAAGCGACCUAUCAAUCUAUGUUUCUCUCGGACCCACACAUCAAUGUCGAUGACUCAAUCAAGAUGAUCAGAAAAGAAUGAAUUUGAAAUUAGAUUUUAGGAAGAACACAUCAUGAGUCUAAAUAAACCUCAAUAACAAAUCAAGGGGUUAAAACCCCAUCAUCCAUACAAAAUUUUGGCUAAAGCUUCAUCUCGUCCGAACAACACAAAAAGUUUAGCUACUCAUGGUUUCGGAAAAUAAAUCACAAGAGAAGAGAAGAAAAAUUAGAGAAGAUGACAUGUUCUUUGUGGAAAUCCCAAUCUUCGACUUGAUGAUUCGCCCUUCGCCAAUCGUGGUUGAUCCUCUCGCUUCAAUCGUCUCUCUAGAACUCUAGCUCCCUCCAAGAGCUCUCUCGAAGAGCUCAAAAAAUAUGUAUCUAUUCAGUAUAUCUCGUCCACGGGGGUCUCGGUGGUAUUUAUAGGCUUCUGGACCAAGUUGGAGAAGGAAAAGGACUUGAAAACCCGUUAUUCAGUAUAUCUCGUCCACGGGGGUCUCGGUGGUAUUUAUAGGCUUCUGGACCAAGUUGGAGAAGGAAAGGACUUGAAAACCUGUCUGGGGGUGGGACAUGUCAUGCUCCAUAUGGAGCACGGCCGUGUUCCCGAUCGUGUUCCGCCCCUGUAACUUUCUCGGGAAAUUUCAGCGGAGGAACACGCUGUGUCCUCCAUUAUACGGAAUUUGACCAUAGUGCCAACAUAAAAAUUAUAGACAAUCGAAUUAUCUUUCUAACGCCGCUGAGCUUGCAUCAAUUGGACGUUCGAGCGAUGAGUUAUGCUCAAAAUACUAAAUAGUUACACUUUCUUCCCAAGUCGAACGCUUUGAGUUGUUCUUGCCUUCCCAUCAUGUCUUGGUUCAUCUCUAAACGUCAUAUGACAUCUGAAAUGUACCAAAAACAUACCAAACACCAUAACAUGGCCCCGAGGGGCAAGAGAGCCAAACAUGUACGCAAAACCCCGAAUUUGAAUACAUUUCCACACACAAAAACAUAGUUUAUAACGAGAAAAGGUGUGUUGAAAAUACAGUGCAUCAUUAAUCAUCAACAAGGAAUCAUCAACAAAGAAUCAUCAACAACUAAUCAUCAUGAAAGAUAGCAACUAAAGUCAAUCAUGUUGGUGCAUUAUGAAUCAUAGAACUAUAGUUUUGUAACUUGUCAUAUCAUCAACAUCAUUGAGGAAGUCAAUUUACAUGACUCUGAUUCAUGUACUUUCAUUGACCUUAUCUAAGGUAUCUUAUUUCUUGUGGGGCGUCCCGCAACUCAACUAACUAACCCACCACCCUAACGCUAAAAUCAUGGAGGUCUAGGAAUACGUAUCCAUCAGGCGGUAUCAUAAAUCAUAGAGGGCAAACUGUAGCCCGUAAAUCAUAGUGGGUAUAUGCCCGAAUCAUAGCGGCAACUGUGGCCCAAAUCAUGAGGGGUGGUGGUCUAGCUAGUGAGUUUCGUGUUUUAAAUCCACCUCUUACACAUCUAGGUGAGGUGUUCUUGUUUCUUAUCACUUAUCAGAUUUAAUCUUAUCAUCAUCUAACAUUAAUGUUAGUCUAACCUUAUCAUAGUGUUAACAUUAUCACUAAUCUAACCUUAUAGUUAUAUAGAAUUCUCUUUCUUUCUUUUUUUCUUUCCAUUAAAUCUCCCACAAUUUAAUUUUUUGUUUAUAAUCAUUUAAAAAUACUCAAAACAUAAAUUUUCAUACAUUAAUAUUGUUCUUUUUAAUUUUUUUAUUCUAAUAACAUUAGUUUUGAUAUAUUUUAUUUAAUUUUAUUUUUAAGUAUUAUAUCGAUGUCAUAAAAAUACAAUAAUUUCGUAAAAAUGGGAGCACGUCCAUAUAAUGACGUAUAACACCAUGUUAUCGUCAUGAGAGAAUUAAAGAUAUGCUUUGUUAUAACACAAUCUCAUAACACUAAUGAAUACCUCAAUCCGUCAAGCAUCCAACUAAGUUUAUACUAACGUCAACAAAUAUGAAGUAUCUGAUUCUCCAUCAAGUGAAGUUAUUGUUGUGUUUUUACUAGAAAACAACCAAAUCUUGAAAUUUAUUGACAAUUUUAGAAUUAAUUGUUUUUAUUAUUUUAUUAUGUUUACUUAUAAGACAGAUGUGUGUUUAUAGAAACAGUUGUGUGUUUACUAUCCUAAAUUGAAGUGUGUUUUUUUAUUAAAAAAUAAGUUACUUCUAUUUUAUAUUUAUGUAUUUUAAUAUCGUAUGGGAUGAUUGAAUAUAUGUUUUAUGUCCCGUAUAAAUAAUGGGUAUCAUUAAUCUUUAUGGAUAUGGGAUAUGAGAUGAAUUUUUAACUUUAUAUGUAAGGGUAUGGAUAAUCCAUGUUGCCCAACCCUAAAUAAAAUAUUUAUUUUACUUAUGUUGUUUCUUGCAAUGUAUGGUUUUUUAUAAAUAAUUUUGUUCAUCAAAAUCGCACCGAAAGUCGCGAACCUUGGAACUUCAACAGAGAACCCGAACAAACAAAAUACCUAUCUAUACAAGAAAAGAAACAACAGCAACUAUCUAUACAAAGACAAUCAUCUCACUUUCAACUCUAUUAUUCUAUGAAUUUUAUCUAUAGUUUCUUCCAUUUUUACUCUUAAACUUCCAGCAUUCUGGGAGCACUUUUCAUACCAAACCAUCGCGAUCACACCACGCCAGAUGCAGCAUUUCCGACGAGCAGCAUCAGUAGCUAGAGCACAUCUACUGCUAGCUAUCUCUACCUCUUUCUGCUAGUCCUUAUCUUUAGUAAAACGAAUAUCAAAAUGAUCACGAACCGCAUCACUAUAAGGGAAAUUAGUGAAGAUAUGAUCAACAUUAUCCAGACCAUCAUUGCUUAAGAGACAAGAGAUAUCCCUGGAAAGACGCCAGGUAGCCAUAGAACAAUUCGUAGUCAACCUCCCUCUAAUUGCAAGCCAGCUGAUAAAGCUAUGCUUUGGUAUAAUUGGCCCCUUCCAUACUAAAUCACACCACAUAACUAGAGGAGAAUGAUGCCUGGUAUCAUUCCAGACACGAUAAAUCGAGUAGCGAGGCAUGCUUGUGCCUGUACACAAAGAAGUACCAUCAUCAUCCAUAGAACACCAAGGGGCUGCAAUAGUUCUAGUUUUCCGAAUCCUCUUCCACACCCAAAAAUUGGAAGGUUGUUUUUUACUCUCUCACAUAGUAUUCACUUUCAAACGAUAACUUUUAAGCCAGGCAAUCCAAAUAGACCCUACAUCAAUACAACACAUCCCACAAAUGUCUGAUGACACAAGCAACAUGUCAAGAUGCAAGGCCCUUGAGUCCAAGACCACCCUCCUGCUUUGAUUUAGCAAUCUUACACCAUCCCACCUUUGCUUUCUUCCUACCUCCUUGCCCUACAGGCCACAAGAAGUUGUUGUAUCUUUUUUCAACUUUAUUAAUAAUCACCUUGGGAAGAAGAAAAAUCGUCAGCCAAUAUUGGCUCAUAAAGGCUAGCACAGAGCUGACUAAUUGCAAUCUCCCUACAUAGCUAAGUAGUUUAGCACGCUAGCUAGAAACCCUAGCAAUGAUGAGAUCAACUAAGAUAUCACAAUCAUGAGAACUGAGCUUGCCUAAGAUAAGAGGAACUCUAAGAUACCUAACAGGCAAACUACCUUCUCUAAAUCCCGAAAUGUUAAUUAUGUCCUAUCUGAUGUGCUGACCAACUGAUCUAGAGAAGAAGAUUUCAGUUUUAUCUGGGUUUGGCUGCUAACCAGAAUACUUAUAGAACUCUUUCAAGACUAAGCAAAUGCCUCAAUCCCCACAUUUGACCCACUCGCGAAAACCAGUAAGUCAUCAGCAAAGCAGAGAUUAAUAAGAGAGAGUUUCUUACAUCGAGGAUAGAAGGGAAUGUCACACUUAAUAAUUGUUUUCUGAAAAAGACAGUGUAAGGGUUCCAUUGCGAUAACAAACAAAGAUGGGGAGAGCAACUCCACCAUUAACUCCCACGCUGAUCAUAACAGUAUCUAAGCAUCCCUUAAUCCAUUUCAAAAACUGUCCAUGGAUACCCAUGAUAGUCAGAAGAUACCGACUAUCAAUUUUGACUGCACACCUCCGAGUAAUGUUUUUUAUGUGAUAAGCACUAACCAACUUACGUGCAAGCAGUAUGUUAUCUCCAAUCCUUCUACCUUUAACAAAAGCUAAUUGGUUACUACUAAUAAUAGUGGGGAGGACUUCAACCAAUCUUGAAGCAAGAAUUUUUGUGACAUAUUUAUACAGAAAAGUUGUAACAGGGUAUAAGAUGAUAAUUCUUAAUGCUAGCAGCCUGAGUUUACUUAGAGAUAAGAGCAAGGAGAGUGGAGCUUACCUGCUUAGACAUCUUCCCUGUAGCAAAGAAAGUCUUCACAACACCAAUGACUCCACUUCCCACCAUACUCCAUGAGUGCGUGAAGAAGUCAGAAGAAAACCCAUCUAGAUCUGGACUCUUAUUUUUAGAAAUCGAGAAGAUAGCAUCCUUAAUUUCAUCAACAGUUAUGUUCGCAUAUAGAAACUCAGCUUGAACACUAGUCACUUUCUUAGUAAGGCAUUUCCUCCAGUCCUCAACCGACUAAGGAAAGCUUCCUCUGAUGUCUUUAAAGAAUCCCAAUCAGCUUAUUUCUUAUAAGCUCUAACAAUAUUCACCUCUGUUGGAACAUUUAUAGCUUUCAUCUAACAUAGUGUAACUCAUUUUCCAUCUUUUUCACACUCCCACUAAUAUUUGAAAACUGAUCAGCAUUGAGCCUGCGGAGAGCAGUUUUAACUUCCUUUAAUUUCAGCUUGCCCUGUAUUUCUAAACGUCGAUUUAUGCUAAUACAACUGAUGAGAAUACAUUGUAAUUCUAUAUUUAUUACUACACACAUGUAACCACUUAAUUGUAUGUCAUACAUUUACUAGACAAAAUAUAUGUAUAUAAUGAAAUUCGUACCAUGACAUUAGUCACAAACGUUUUUGCCCAAUGAAGCUCGAACACAGAGAAAACUCGAACGUAUGAGCAUUUAUCUUUUAUUUAUAAUUAGAUGAGGUUUAUAAAUACUAAACAAGUCAUAAAAAUAUAUAACUGUAAAGUUAAAUCAUAAACAAAAACAUAAUAAACAUGAAUAUGUAACCUAACGAGAUAGAUAAAGUGUUGUAGUACUAUUCACAAAUACAACAAAUACAUUAAGGUGAAGAUAUGGAAAAAAUAUCAAUUUGCACAGAGAGACGUGAGCUAGUGUCAUCCAGUGAUAAAAUAUUUGUUAGGCACUAUUUUUUCAUAAGUGUGUCAUAUUAUAGUUGAAUUCUUCGAUAUAUUUGGUAUAUUAAAAUUUUCGAUGCGCUUACUUUUUAGUGAGUAACGUAGAUUAAUUAUAAACAUCCAUUUUAAGUAAUUAAUCUCGACGGUUGAAAAUAAAUAUAAUUUUAAAAUUUAAUUAUGCAUAUCAAUAUAGUCUCAAAAUUUAUUUUAACUUACAAACUAACAGUCUAUAUUUUAUAUGAUUAGAUAAAUACUCCAUUCUUUUCAAUUUGAUAACUGAUCAACAUUAAUAUAACAGGUACGGUUCUUCUUCUUCUAGAAAUCAAUUGGAGCCUAAAUCUAAUGAUAGGAUUACAAGAAGAUCUUGCCUUGAUAGUACGAACCAAACCAAGCGAUUUAGAGGUUUUGAGGUGUUUGAAAUUUGUGGACGCUACUCGGCGUCGAAGCGGAAGAGGAAAGACAAUGGAUCGUUGUUUAUGGGCAUUUUGAUUUUAAGGGUUGACUGAUAAUGGCUUCAAAUAGCCGGACAAUUUCCCCGGAUUUUGUCAAUGUGCGUCUACAAUUUCAUGUUUUUACUCCAUUUAUUUAUACAAUCCAUUUCCAAACUCUAUGAACUAUGAAGCUAGAUGUUUCUUUCUUCACACGCCAGUAUCUUCUUGCAGUUCUCAAGUAAUUGAGCCACUUGCUUGUUUUGAUCUGGCAACAAAUACCGGCCUACAUCACUCAACAGUUCAAUAACUACUCAGCACACUCAAGCAAGUUUAACGAUAAACAACCCAUGCUUAACCUUAAUUACACGAUUAUCUUUCAUGUUAAUUCAGGAGUAUCGAUCUCGUCCAAUGUGAUGAAAAAAGCAGAUGUGAAUUCGAACAAUUGGUCAGAGUUGCAAUCCAUUGACUAGAGUUCGAGCCCCAUAACAGCCAGUUUCAUUUUCAAUUUACUUUAUCGUCUCAGAUGAUGACGUCGUUUUUGUUCAGCUGAGUAUCAUCUUCUUCUUCAUUCUUCCACCGGCUAGUUCUCUGUUUUAUCCGACAAGUUCCCGCAUCCUAAAAGAAACCAUUUUGGCACUCCUUCCCGCCUUUUUGAGCCAAUACGGCUUAAGAAAAAACUGGACAUUCCCCACCCAUGUUCACGCGAAUCGCAUAUGGAAGUUCCUUACCGAUAUUUUCCUUCUGACAGGAGUUGCGUCGCCGGAUUAAGCUUUCAUUGGGCGAACUACGAAGGCAACAUUCCUGAAUUAAACCCUUCAUUGAGGGAAAUGUUCCGGAUAUUUGAAGUCUACCAGUUGACCCUUAAAAUAAAAAAUGCCCAGAAAUCACGAUCUCUUGUUCUUCCUCUUCGAUACAGAGUUACGUCGACAAAUUUUUACGACCACAAGACCUCAAAUCACCUGGUUUGGUUUGUACUAUCGAGGAAAGAUCUUCCUAUCCUUAGAUUCAAGUUUCGAUCAAUUUAUGGACGUGGGAUAUUGAAAAGCUUGAUCCAAGGAAGAAAAAGCAUAACUGUGAUGAUCUGUUACCUAACAUAUGUAUCAAAUUGAAAAUAAUUAAUUAUUGAUCCAAUCGUAUAAAAUAUAGAGGGUUAGUUUGUAAGUUCAAAUAAAUUUUGUUACUAUAUUGACAUGUUUAAUUAAGUUUUAAAAUUAUAGUUACUUCAACCGUUAAGAUCAAUUACUUAAAAUGGACGUUCAUGAUUGAUUUACGUUACCCACUAAAAAAUGAGCGCAUAAAAAAUUUUGAUAUACCAAAUACACUGAAGAAUUUACUCUAAUAUAAAUAACGGGAGAAAGAUAAAGAUCUGUACACGAAAAAGUGCAUUAAUUUUGAAACCAUAAUUUCGAAAUAUAAAUAUAAUUAUUUACUUUUUUCUACUUUUCAUUUACUUAUUCAUUGCGAAUGAACAACCUCAUAUCAAUUUUGGGUUUAGACUCCGCAGCAUGACGUUACCACCAGAUAAAAGUGAAGCAUUAGACUUCUAGUUUUGCAGAAAUCAAAGAAAGAAUAAUUGACAAUCUGAAGGAUGAUAGAAAGGUAAAUUCACUCGUUCAGUCCUUCUAUAUUUUUUGGACAUUUCUAUAUCUUGGGAGUGCCUUUUAUUUUUCGACUGAAGCUAGUCCGAUAUGGGUCAGUAACAUCAGCUACUUCAGGUAGGAAGACGCUUCUCAUUUGAACUGAGUAACCCCACAAUAUAUGACUUGUAGUCUAAGAAACUCUGAGUUAUGUGCAGUGGACACUGGAGAUUCGACGAAGAAGCGCAUGCAGGGUGGAACGCUCCUGGAAGUAACUUUCACUUGGCUUAUUCCUUUUCUACAUUCUGUCAUUUGAUCAGCUCUUGUAGGUUGUAUUGUUGUUGAUGAUUUUAUCGGCGAAUGGUAGAAUGGCGGAAGCGAAGGAGAGGAGUUCGACGCCUGCAAUUCCAUCGGAUAUGCAGUCAGUGACCAAUAGGUGUGAGCUUUUGGAAAAGGAAGUGAGAUCACUCAAACUCAACUUGUCUUUCAUGAACCAGUAAGACCGAAAGAAACAGAACAUUCAAAUCUGGACAUAUGGGUUACUUGCUGCUGCUUCAUAACCAAGUUUUUUAUUUAUUUCAAACAUAUCAGACAGGAUUUCGAACAGACUAGCUAAGAAAAUUGAGGAUCUCCAGAAACAAAACAAGGAGUUGACAAAAGAGAAAGAACGUCUGCUCGAGGAGAUGGAGAGGAUCCUUUCCCAAACCGCAAGUUCUGACUUGAAAAAACCCUCAUCAUAUUGCUAGUUGCUACUGAAGAAGAUAUAUUUUGACUUAGGAGUUAGGGAAAUAUAUAACCUCCUUUCUUCCACAUGUUAAUUUGACGAACAGUAAGAUGGAUGAAUAUGGAUUUUCCUUUGGUCAAUUAUACAUGUCAAUGUUUUACUUUCUGCAAACUCUGUAUCAGACGUGCUACUUGCUUUGUCGUGGUGAUAAUGUAAUUAUAUAUGUUAACACAUUUGAAAUCUUGGAACAAUUUUGAUAUUACAUUACAGUAAUGAAUAGACAAGGGAAUUAAAGAAUAAAAAUUUCUGGAUUGGGAGUGUUGACGCCGCUGGACUUCAUUUCCUCUUCUUCUUUUUCUUGUUUACUGAUCUUGGAAAGCAACACUCUUUCCCAUGCUUUUGAUGCUCUUCUAACGAGAUUAAUUCGAUUAAGUGGUUAUCGAGCAUAGUCUUCAAAAGGCCUCGUGCGUUGCUACCAUGAUAAGGAUGAUCUGUUUUGUCCAUCACUAGCGAUUCUCUUGAGUUGAUCAACCGGCAUUCUCCUCUUGGCUUCUCCUCCUACUAGUCUGGGAAUCGAAGCGUAAGCCUGAUACCUAAUUAACAGUUUCACUAGGUCAGCCACUCUCUCUUUGUUGCAUUCUUCUGCCUCUGAUGAUCCCAUCAUUCUCUUCACUUCUUAGGCCUUAGCCAAAUAUAUUAUGAAGAAAGUUUCUGGUGGUAAUGCUGUUGCAACAAUGGAUAUUAUUGUUGAUUUUAUAAGGAGAGUAAGUUGGGUUUUUUUCUUACAAGAGUCCUUGGGAAACAAGGAAACCAAUAGCAGCUUUGAGUCCUUUUCCCUCUCGGACUCGGAAUAAGUUUUUGUAAAUAAUUAAUGCUUAGAUUUGAACCACAUUCUAUUGUAGCUAAGGCCCACUUAAUGGUUGGAUUGUGGAUCAAAAUGGGUUUGGGCCUAAAAUUUCUUAUAAAAUAAAAAGGGAACCAGAUUAACUACACCUGACGAUUUAGGGUUGACCCAACCCGAACCCGCCCGAAAUUUUAGGGUUGGGUCUGCUAUUUUGGCAUCCGAAAUCGAAAUGACCCAAAUCUGGUAACCCAACAUUUUUUUAGGUGGGUUAGGAUAAGGUUUAGGAUCGACUCGUUGACCCGAAACAUCUUAUAGUGCAUAUCUUUUUAACCUCACUUACAUAUUUUUAAUAUUUAGUCUACUUAUGAUUAUAAUUUUUUAUUUUUAUUUCAUUGUAUUAUAUAUUACAUAAUUCAUGAAUAUCACAUAAUGUUAAACUCAACAUACACCAUGUGAAAAUGUUUCUAAAAUUUAUUGAUCAAUUUACUCAAUAAUAUUAUUUAUUAUGUUUAACAUCUUAUAAAAAAAUCAUAAAGUGAUUAAUGUUAUACAAAUAUGGUGUGCAUAAGUGAUAUCGGUAAUACAAAUGUAUUAUGUAUAAGUGACAUCGUUAAUUUGUGUUUUCUAUAUAUUUUUGCGUUUCAUCACUAUGAACUAUUAUAUACCUAUUUUUAUUUAUUAGUUUAAUUUGAAUUAGUUAAAAUUUAGUAUACUUAUCGUAAUAAUUUUGUCACAAUGUUGAUUAUAAUUUCAUUACGAGUCAAAGCGAUUGUAACCCAAAAUGACCCGCAACCCAACCCAAAAAUUUAAGUUUAGGGUCAAUUUUAAAAAAUAACAAUUUGUAAUCCAAAUAACUCAAUCCAAAACAACCCGUAACCUAAAACGACCCACCCAAAUUAACCUAACUCUCCGAACUCCCAAAUCUAAAAUUAACAUCUUCUUCAACAUCCUUUAAAAUCUUAAAACUAUAUAAGGCAGUUGUGAAGACAAUUUUUGCCACAUCAGCACACCAUACCCUCUCCAUAAUUUUCGGAUUUGCAAUUCUUUUAUGAGUUUUCGGCUCCCAUUUAAUUAAUGGACAUUUAUUAAACGAUUUUUUUAAUCAAACGAUUUCUGUUACCAUUUGUAAUGGGCUAUUCCUUUUUUUCAAUGACUUGAUUUUUCAGAUUUAUUUGCAUCCUAACCAUUUAAUUUUUUUUGGAUCAAUCUGAUUAAAAAAACAAUUGGAUCGUGACAUUGACAAAUUAUUAUGAUUUUACAAGGCCUAUGACUAUGUGUUAACUAACCGUGAUGAUAUUUUUUAUCCCCAAAUACAUAUUCCUAAGAAAAUUAUCAUAACAGAUUUCCUUGGUCAAUCUCAAUCCUCAAAUUAACCACAUAUCGGUUACUAAAACUUAUCUUUAUCCCAAUUUUAAUGGAUUUUCGGAUACCCACAUAUAUUCAAUCCCUAACACGUUUUAAUACUUUUGUUUAAUAUAUUGUAAAUGUGAUCCAUUUAUGUUAAAACAUAUCAAAUUGUAAAUAGUAGUCGAUAUGAAUAAUAUUAUUAGAGUGAAUUUUGUGGGUCACACAUGUUGAAUCAAUCGAGUUGCAUGUUCCUUAUGUGACAAAUUUGAUUAAUUAAAAUAGAUGUGAAUGUUGCUAUAUUUUUAUGUCAAUUUAACCCGUGGAUAUGCUCACAAAUCACCGCAUAUAAUCCUAAAUAUUUUAAUAAAUUCCUAAAAUAAAUAUUUUUCAAUUUAUAUAACAUCUUGAUGGAUGAAUCAAAUUAAACAAAUUAGUUAAAUCAAUAUUAAAUCCGGGCAAGGAUGGGGAAAAGCCUAGUUUCUUAAAUAAAAAUUUCAAUCAACGUUGAAACAGCGAGAAGGAAGAAAGGAAGCUCCCAAACCGCGUCCCGAUGGUCGAAAUAGAGCCGUUGCCGGUCAGGAAUAGAGUCGUUGCCGGUCAGAAAUACAGCCGUUGCAAGUAAGAAAUAGAGCCGUUGCCGGUAAGAAAUAGAGUCGUUGCCGGUCAGAAAUAGAGCCGUUGCCAGCGCAUCUCCACCGCUCAUCUGAGUCCUUACUAGCGUUAACCCACCCGUAAUAUAAUGGGGGCGUACUAUUACUAUUCACUCCUUCACGCUCCGGCACCACCAAUUCUUUCGCCUUCGAGCAGCCUUUUUUUCUCUCACGCGCUCUGUGUUCAUCUUCUUCGUUCUUUGGAAAUCUUUUGCAACAUCAUGCUGCUUAGCUUCUGUUUCAGUCUCUUGUUGAAUCUGGGAUUCUCGUGGUCAGAGUCUCUGGUAGAUUCUUUGCUCACUCAGAACUGGGUUCUUGCUUUCUCAAACUGGAGAAAUCAAAAUGGAGGAGGAACAAGUAGAACAACAGCCUCAACAUCUCCAGAUGCUUCCUCCGGGUUACCGUUUCAACCCAUCUGAAGAGGAAUUGGUAGGUUACCUUUUCAAUCAUAUUUCCGGUUUCUCUUUACAAAAUAUUCCGUUUUGCCCCGUUGUUGUCUGCGACUUGUACAGCUCCGCAGAACCAUGGGAGAUUUGGCCAAGUUGUCAAUCGGAAAGAUUCGGCCUCCCUAUCGGUGAUGUCUACGUGAUCACCAAGCUCAAAAAGUCCAAAACUUCUUCUACCAGACUGGAUCGUUCCGUCGGAAUCUCAGGGGGUACCUGGCAUCAAACCAGUAAGGUUAAAAAAAUCGAGGAGGUUGAUUGCGGUGCACAUAAACUAUGUGGCCUUUGUAAGGGAUUCAAUUACAAAAAUCUCACAUCUCCGGAAAAUGGUUGCUGGCUUUUGACGGAGUACACCAUCAGCAUUGACGGUGGGAAGACCUACUCAGAGGAAGCCAUAUGCAAGCUUAACCAUCACAAAACCAGCGAAGGGGCUGAUCCUCAACCACCCUCCACUGGCAAGAGAAAGUUCGAUGCUGCUGCUGGCUGUUCCUCACAGCCAUCUUCAAAGGUUCCUAGAAUCUGUGAUGGUGCCCCAACUCUGUCUCCCGACUUGAUAUCAUUAUCUGCCUCAAAUGAUGGAGUUGGUUAUUCUUCUUCUUCUAUGACCAAUAUUCACAAUACGCUGCCAACAAAUCAGUCUCACAACUCUGAGAAUGAAGUUGGUUUCAAUCUUGAUGAUGAUAUUUGGGCACUCCUUGAGGAAGAAAUAGAACUUGGCAGUACUGGACAGCAAGUUCAGUCCCUUGUUGAACCAAAUCAAGAUCUCAUAUCAUUUUCAUCUGAUUCAUCCUUGAACUCUAAGGUACCUAUAAUUGAUGACGAUUUCAUUAACCGUCUUUCUAGCCCUAGUUACAUUCCCUGCUCAUUUGAUUCUGAUUUGGGUUAUGAAAUUGAUGUGCUUUGUUCACAAAACCUGCCUGGUAGUCCAUUUUCUUAUUUGCAAGAUCUGCCCAUAUCUGAUUUCCUCGUUUAGUUCGAUUAGGAUAUUUCUACAUUUGUGAAUCUGCCAACGGAGCACUUUUUUCUCAAGUCUAAUAGGUGGUUCAAUAGUGAAGUUGAAUCUUAUUUUCAUAUGAUAUCUGAAAAAUAGAACUUGUAAGUCUUGCAUAUAUUGAUUGUUGCUGGUGUCUGAGUUGCUUGACAGUUUUGACUCUUCCAUCACAUAUUCUGUCAUGGAUUUUGUGUCAAUUUACAAAAAUGUUAAAUGUUUAGGAGGCCCUGCAAUGCUUUGUUUGUUUUAUUUUCCUUUUAGUAGUCUGUUCCCAUAUAGUAUAGUACUGUGGAUUCAAUUCAACAUUCAGUAGAUGGUGAAGCAUGAGCGUGGACGUCAGUCAGGUAAAUAUUCAGUAUCAGUCUUAUGUUUUUUUUUGGAUGAUAGUAGUGAUCUUUUGAUUGUUCAAGCUGGUUUUUGUUUCAACAAUAUAGGUACCUAUCCUAUCUGUUUUAUUCAUUAUUAACUCUGGUCAUGUUUACAGAAAUCAGAGAAAGGAGAAUUGGCAAUCUGAAAGAUGACAGGAAGGUAAUCCACUUGUUGGUAUUUGUUUUGAUAUUGUACAUGCCAGCAAUGAAAAUCUCUGAACUACAUAACCGUAUGGAAGAGAAGAGCAACACAAAGGGACCACGGCAGGAGGUACACUUACUCUCUCCUCUUAACAUAGUUAUGGUAUUGAACGCGAGAGCCUAAUGGUAGGUUCAUGAUAAAAUUGCGAAUGAAUCUAUAUAUAAGCAUGAUGGUCAAAGAAGGAGGGGAUGAAAAGAGCAUUCUUGUCUUCCUAAAAACAGUGUAUAUUGAUGUAGGAUAUUAAUGUCAUAUUGAUGUGAUUAACUUGAAAUGUUAGUAACUCAUUCUUGUCUUCUUAAAUAGCUCCCUGCUAAUUGGAUAAUAUAGUGCAAAAUGAUGCAAAUAGUUGAGUUAGAUCCUGGUAUUCCAGAUUUAUGAACUUCUUGCAUGAGUCCUUUUAUUCUGGUAUACAAUCAUUUAAUAUGUGCUUAGGUACUUUAGUAUGUAUGUCUGAUUCUCAGUUGGUUAUCUAGUUAGAGCAUGAAUGAAUUGGUUGUUGGCAAGAGUCAAGAUUUUGAAUGUGGCUUCUGGGGUAGUUUCUGUAGUUGUUUUGAUGCCUUUGUAAUGCAAGUCUGUAACAAAUAUGAAGGCAACUAAGAUAUGAUAAAAUUGUGAAUGAACCGAUAUAAAUAUGUAUACUUUUGGUAUAGGACAUGUGGUUUAACCUGACAAAAUCAGCUAGUAGUGGUAGGGGAUUGUUGUAAAGGCUAUAUCACAAUAUUAUUACUACAUUUGAACUGUGUUUUGCCGUGAGUGUUGGAAAAGACUUUUUUUAUACAUUUUUAAAAAAUAUUAUUUAUGUGCAUCUUCUUAUAUCUCUCAAGACAUAACUUUUUGUUCAUGACACAAUUCUCUCUUUUUUCUUCUUUACAAAUGAGAAACUAACAAAGAUAGUAUGGGAAAUAGUAUGGGAAAUUGAAAAAGGAGGUCAAAUGACAUUUUGGAAACCCACAAACGGUUCCUUUUGCUUAAUUUUGUUUUUUCAGAUGUGUUGGAACUCAAGUUUUCUCUCCAAUGCACAAAGUUUGGUUUUUACUUGUGCUAAACAAAUUGAGGGAAUUUGAAGAAACUGCAGGUUUACCCAAAGGUUUUCUGAAAAAUGAUGUACAAUCGUUACCCGAUUCGAGAAGAUAGUUCAAAAUGAUGCAAAUCUUUAGUAUUUCAGAUUUAGGAACCUCCUACAGAGAGUCCUUUUAAUCUGAGACGAAAGUUAUCUGAUUGAAUAAUCUUCUCCUUUGACUCAUUAUGUGUUUGCUUGUGAGGGCAGAUGUACCUCCUUCCCUCACAUGUUUGCUAGUUGAUGUAUUUUGGCCCUCUAAUGAGUUGAUAUUUGUGAUUCCAUAAGCAUGUACCAUUUGGUUUUGCUUUCUAUUUCAAACUCAACAUGGUUGUGCAUCAAAUUUCGAAAGCUGCUGGUCCCUCCAAGCAUAUGAUUCGUACAUGAGGCUGAUAUGGCAAAGGGUAAGUACGUGUAUGCUUUUUAUUUGUCUCACCAACUCAUUUUUAGAUGAUGUUUCUGAUAUAAUGUUUUCCUACGAUGGUAUGCAUGUCGAAACUUUGAACGAGUUUGAGCUAGAGCUGUUAAUUUCAACAGCAAUGGAGCUGCUGCCAAUGUCAGAGAUCUGACACCAUGACCUUACUGGGAUUCACUGGUGAUUCCUUUAACAAUGAAACAGCUUUAUGAUUCCAAGAUGAAGGGUUGAGUAGUAUCCACAACAGAAGCGAAUAAGGAAUUACCAGGUAUAUGAAUGGAGAAUUCAUUUUGGAGAUAUGAGCAGUGAUCUGUGCUUGUCCAGCCAUCGGAUUUGGGUUGGAAAAAGAAAAACAACAGAGAUAGCAGAGUCCUGUAAUAUUGACAACCACAAGGCUUACAGAACUUGAGAGUUUCCCUCAAGAAAAGACUAACAGAUAUUGAAUAUCAUUGCUUCAUAAAGGUUUUGCAUUUCAUUGGUUGCUUAAGUUGGGUCUACAGAUAUGAAAUCUGCAGAUGAUGGCUGGAGGAAUAUUGUUGUGAGUAGAGGAAUUCUCUUCUCUGGGUGAUUUGGUUGAGCUGUGUUUCGGUCUGAUUUUGGUUUCUUUUUUUGGCUUUGUGUUCUCGUUUAGCUUUUGUAUUUGUGUGGUAGGUUGUGGCACAUCUUUGUUGUAAUGGAUGUACUGCUGGUGCAUCUUUGUUCUUCAUAUUUUGAUCUAAUAAAAUCACUCAAUUAGUUGAUGGCAAGCUACAACAUUCUGCUAGAAGAGGUUCUGAGUAAUCCAAAUUCACCAACAGCUGCUCAUCUUAUUAUUACAAGGGUGUUUGAUAUGUCAGCUUGUGUUCAUGGUAUGACGAACUGGAUCAUGGAGAGUUUGACAAUAUGAACAAGGCAGAAGGAGGCAAGUUGCGAUAUUUGGAUGCCAG